UUACCUCAGGUCAGAGAAGACUACCCGCUGGACUUAAGCAUAUCACUAAGCGGAGGAAAAGAAACUAACUAGGAUUCCCCCAGUAACUGCGAGUGAAGAGGGAAGAGCUCAUCAUUGGAAUCUGGCAGUGUUGCACUGUCCGAGUUGUAGAUGAGGAGUAGUCCGUCUGGACUGCAUGGCGUCCAAGUACAAUAGGCCGUCAGUGGGACAUCAUAGAGGGUGACAAUCCCGUCCUUGACGCCAAUGUGCAAGUCUAUUACGAUGGCUAUCUCAGAGAGUCGAGCAGUUUGGGAUUUGCUGCUUAAACAUGGGAGGUAGAUUCCUUCUAAAGCUAAAUACAGGCGAGAGACCGAUAGAGAACAAGUACCGCAAGGGAAAGAUGAAAUAGCACUCUGUGAAGGGAGUCAAAAGGCGUGAAAUUGUUGCGAGAGAAGCGAUUCAAGUCAGCGUAGCUAGGCCCAUCAAGCGUCUUCGCUUUGGACUAGCUUUGCCAGCGGUCUUGUCCCUUGAAGAGACUUGACUUGUAAUAUGUCCAGCCUGGCGUGCACAGGCAGCCCCUUCUGGGGGCCAGUGGCAUGGCUGGUGGAAUGGCUUGCAAUCGACCCGUCUUGAAACACGGACCAAGGAGUCUAACAUGUAUGCGAGUAUAAGGGUGGCAAACCCGUAUGCGCAAUGAAAGUGAUUUUCGGUGAUUGAGAAUGGCCUGAUGACCAGACAAGCAAUAUAUGUCCCUCGUACGGCCAUUGCCCAAGUUCCGUGGUAGAUCCCACGAACAUGGAGUUGGAGCAUACAUGCUAGGACCCGAAAGAUGGUGAACUAUGCCUGGACAAAGCGAAGCCAAAGGAAACUCUGGUGGAGGCUUGUAGCGAUUCUGACGUGCAAAUCGAUCGUCUGAUCUGGGUAUAGGGGCGAAAGACUAAUCGAACC
rnacentral:rRNA from 1 species